rnacentral:rRNA from 1 species
CCUACGGGAGGCAGCAGUAAGGAAUCUUCCACAAUGGACGAAAGUCUGAUGGAGCAACGCCGCGUGCAGGAUGAAGGCUUUCGGGUCGUAAACUGCUUUUAUAUGGGAAGAUUAUGACGGUACCAUAUGAAUAAGGACCGGCUAACUACGUGCCAGCAGCCGCGGUAAUACGUAGGGUCCAAGCGAUAUCCGGAAUUACUGGGCGUAAAGCGUGUGUAGGUGGAUUAAUAAGUGUGAUGCGAAAUCCGGCGGCUCAACCGUUUGGACUGUGUCGCAUACUGUUAGUCUAGAGGACGGCAGAGGUAAGUGGAAUUACGGGUGUAGCAGUGAAAUGCGUAGAUAUCCGUAGGAACACCAAUGGCGAAGGCAGCUUACUGGGCCACACCUGACACUGAGACACGAAAGCGUGGGGAGCGAACAGGAUUAGAUACCCCGGUAGUCCACGCCGUAAACGAUGCAUACUAUAGUAGUAGGUAGUCGUACCCGUCGUGCUGAGAGACUACGACGAUAGUAUGCCGCCGUGGGAGGUACGAGCGCGACGACGUUAAACGUUAAAGGUAAAGUUAGUUACGGUCGUUGAGACGNGCCGACGGCGACGACGAGGGAGGAGG